UGUUGGUUCCCUCCAAUCGAGUAUUUUUCAUGCCUGGAACUUAUUCAGCUCAACCGUACGCGCACUCUGGCCUAUGCAUAGCCUUGAUCCGAUCCAUGAACAUUUCGCUUACGCUGGGAACGACCACAAGAGCCGAAACCGGUGUAGCCUUCGUCGGAGUCUUCAUUCCACGGUGUUCAUUUCCGGCGAUACCGUUUUCUGUCUAGGGAGACGACACCGGCUGUUGCCCCAGCUUGGGUCAAGUUGCGACGUCUGCCAGAUCAUCUUCUAACCGCUCCGAUUCACGUCGCCCAACUAACUAGCCGAUUCUCCGGUGUUGCGCCAUCUUUUCCGUCGUUCCGGUGUCUGCAAUGACAUUCUUGGACCCGCUACUCUAAGAACCCUUAAUUCCAACCAACAGAAGUAAUGUAACACAAUUCUACAACUUGCGCUGCUUGCUGGGGAUCAAGCCGACAAUCUCGAGGCUCUUGAUGGCGGACAAUCGACCGGGGCCGAGGCCGCGCACCCUCACCCGGACCGUGUAGCCGCGCUCGAUCGCUUUAGUGCAAAUACUGACGGCCUUCACCUGCGCCGCAAUGUUCGUUCCGAGUCGUAAAUCGUGAUGAUGUGUUGUUCGGCGACACCCGGAUGUUGCAGAUGGAAAUCUCGUUACAAUCUUCCACCACAGACAAACAGACGUGAAUCUUAGUUGAUUUUUUCAAAAAAUCCAUCGUCCCCACAAGAAAAUUCACAAUUGGGCUGCACACUAGCGCGAUCUGCAGUCCUGUUGCGGAAACCUCAUCGUUUCAAUAAACCACUAUAAGAGUGUACCCUCUUCCCCUUAUCCGAUUAAGCGUGUACAAAAGAAAAAUGACGUUUGUAUGUUGUUUAUGUAAUGAAACAUUGUUAUGUUCGAGGGUAAGUUUUUUUUUGAAUCAGACAAAUUAUCGGGAAAAAUGCUGCCAAAGUUCCACGCGAUGGCGUCAAAGAAUGCAAAUUAAACAGUUGCUGCACCAGAAACAUUGCAUUGUGGUAUCCUCUUUCGUACGGCGUCCCUGUUUGAAAAAUGUCGCACGUCGUGCGAGCUGUCGCGCGGUUUUGAUUUUACCGUUUCGAUAUCGAUUGGUCGAAAGGACGACAAACGGACGACAAACACUCGACAUGCCCGACAUUGUUUUUUCCAUCGAUUUUCCUUCAAUUUGACGUCACGAUUUUCGUCGACGCAGUUUGACAGUUCUCUUCAGUUGGUCUUGUUUGGACUUGAUCAAAUCAGAGAAACUUUGAACCGAAUCGAACCAGUUUACUUUGUUGAAAAGUUCGUGUGGAUUUUUGCCGGUUGAUUGGAGGAGGAGAACGGGUCACAUCGUUGCUCCGGCGGGCCAUGCCGAAAGACGGAAAGGGAAGCACCCGGUCUGUGAUCGAGGAAGCGGAUUGGUGUUUAACUUUCCGCGGGAGGUGGCGGUGCAUGGUUUUUAUACGGUAACCAAAAAUAUUCCAAUCGAAUCCUGCUGACAACCCAGCGUUUCCGUAUUGUCCCACGGAACGGAAGCUGUAACGAUCGCAAAAACACCUGCACUGGAAGUGCGUAAACCAACGUUGUCCCGUAGGCCAUCAAUCUGUGAGAAUUAAAUGGAAGCGCCGCUCCAGUGCCGUAUCUACACGCUGGUGUCGACUCCAAAAGAUGGCUGACAAAGUCCGGCCAAGAUGCCGAAGCGACGAGAUGAGCUGAAAGACCAACCGGAAGACAACGCCAAAAACCACGUGAAGAUCGCGACACACAACAAGAAAAAUUAAUGAAUGUUUGUGAAAUCGAGUGAAAAAGAUUAAUUAACAGAAAAAAAUAUAUCUAAAAAUAAUUUAAAAUAUUUUUUCUUUUAUUUUUACUGCAACAUAACCUAAAAAACAGCACACGACAAAGGCACGACAACCUAAAUAACAAAACCGUGCGACGUCGGUCGAAUGUCGUACGACAAUGUCGAACAAUUUCGAUGAUCGAUCGCACGACAAAUACGACAUUUUGGUGCAAAAACGUAUGACAUUCGUGCGAAAGUCGCACGACAUUGUCGUGCGACGUCGUACGGUUGCACGGACGACAAACGACGGACGUUCGACGGACUUUUCAGUCAGGGGUUCCG